CGUGAAGCCUUGUUUGGCCUCCCCA
rnacentral:piRNA from 1 species